UGGGGAAUUUUGGACAAUGGGGGCAACCCUGAUCCAGCAACGCCGCGUGAAUGAAGAAGGCCUUCGGGUUGUAAAGUUCUUUUGUUUGGGAGCAAAGUGCCUAUGCUAAUACCAUAGGUAGAUGAGAGUACCAAAAGAAUAAGCACCGGCUAACUACGUGCCAGCAGCCGCGGUAAUACGUAGGGUGCGAGCGUUAAUCGGAAUUACUGGGCGUAAAGCGUGCGCAGGCUGACAUAUAAGUUAGAUGUGAAAUCCUUGAGCUUAACUUAAGAAUUGCAUUUAAUACUGUAUGUCUAGAGUCUAUCAGAGGGGGGUAGAAUUCCAAGUGUAGCAGUGAAAUGCGUAGAUAUUUGGAGGAAUACCGAUGGCGAAGGCAGCCCCCUGGGAUAAGACUGACGCUCAUGUACGAAAGCGUGGGUAGCAAACAGG
rnacentral:rRNA from 1 species